rnacentral:lncRNA from 1 species
UGUGUGUGAUAUUGCAGUGCAUUAUAUGGCAGACAGAAAUAAGCUACUUGCAGGAGUCAGUUUGUCAGUUUUGGCUGCACCUUUACCCUCUGAGUCAUCUCAUUGGCCCUUCAGUGUGUUUUUUGCAAGGUCCUAAGGAGGAAUUCUCACAGACAUUAAAAAUGUGAUAAAAAAAAAUAAGACUCAAAUCAGAAUAGCUUUGUUAUCUAAUUUUCAAUCUUAAUAAACCAAUAAAUAGCCCUACCAUCUAAAGAUGGUAUCAGAACCUGUAAGGUGCUACCUCAGACAUAUAAAAUGGUACAGCCUUUGCAUCGAGGCUACUGCUUACAGUGGCAUGAAUGAGGCAUGGUCACUUUUGCCUCAGGCAUCCAGCUGCCUCACGUUUCUUUAGCAUCUGGUUAUUUUGGCAUAGCAGCUUUUCAUCAAUGGAGUGCAAUCUUGUCCUUGCCUAAUCCUUUCUCUUGAAUAGUGUACAGCAUGUACAAAAUGUUGUUGUUUUAAUGAAUGAAGUCAUUUCCUCCUUUUUUUUUUUUUUUGACUAGAAAUAAACAUGGAGGGCACAGAAACUUCAGAGUGGAGUGUAACAUGGGAGCUUCCCUUUGUUCUCUCUGCCCUUUUCUCCCAUCCACAGGAGCUGGGAAUCCCAAGUGCAA